ACUUGAAUAGCUCAGUUGGUAGAGCAAUCGGCUGUUAACCGAUCGGUCGUAGGUUCGAGUCCUACUUCAAGCGCCA
rnacentral:tRNA from 1 species